rnacentral:snRNA from 1 species
AAACUUACCUGGCUGGGAGGCUUUCGCGAUCAAGAAGGCGGAACCUCCAUGGCGAGGCUUGGUCAUUGCACUUUCGACCAGGCUGACCCGUGUGGCAGUCCCGAGUUGGGAUUGGCCAACAGCAUAAUUUUUGCGUUUGGGGACAGCGUUCGCGCUUCCCCGC